rnacentral:ribozyme from 1 species
UUUGUUUUCCUUUCUUUUCUUUUUUCUUUUUAUUUUCUUCUA